GGCGGGGCCGCCCCCGGAGACGCGGGGAGGCCUGCGGGUGCGCUUGGCCUAGGCUGGCGUGCGGGGCUCCGGGCAGUGGCCUGUCCCAGCCGCCCUGCUCGUGGAUGAGACCUCCAGGACCCAGCUUGCAGGCCCCAGGAGCCCACUGUCCUACGCGUGGGAAAGUCCUCGACCAGAUGACCUAAUGACGGAUUCUGCAGAAGUGAAACCGUCCUUCCGUGGGAGGCGAAAAGGGCCCUGGGACAGAGCCCACACAGGAGCCCUCUGCGUCCGGCCGCCGCUGUCUGAGCGAUGCUGGAGGAGCCUCUGGGCCUCCCUGAGCCCCACGUGCCCGGCUCAGCUGCAGGCAAAAAAUAUUAGAGCUGAUCCCAAGCUACUUCAAAUGUGAAACAAGCCAAAUCAGAAAAAGAGCAGUUCGGCGAGAGAGAUGUCGCUGGUUCAGACCAGGAAGAAGUUUCCAGUCGACAGGAGGCUUGCCAGGAAGCCCACCCCAGACCGAGGAACGUGGAGCUGCCGAAGACUCCUGCCCGCGGGCAGCCACGUGUCCAACUUAGGCCAGCGGGCAGCCUUUGCUGCUGAGGGAGCUGUGUCUGGAACCUUGUCUCACCCUUCCCGAGUUUCCAAAAUCCACAUCAGCAAAGACUGCCAGAGGAUCUCCUGUCCAGCUCCUGGAAGAAGUCCCCCUUCUGUGGGCAGCCCACGACAGCGUGCGCUGAGAUACGGCUUUGAUCCGUGUUGGGGGAACUGUGAUCCCAGGUGCCACGGAGCAACUAAGCCAACCCGCCACAACCAUGGAGUCCACGAGAGUCCUUGCAUGCGCUGCAGCAGAAGGUCUGCAUGGAGCAACAGAUCCUGCAUGCCGCAAUGAAGACCCAGCGCAGCCAAACAAAUGAAGUUUUAAAAAUUGAAUUUAAAAACCCGGAAUGUUGCAUCAGCGCACCCCCACCGUGAAGAGCGCCUGUUGUCUCCCGCCACACGAGGGGCAGCGGUGUCCUAGGGAGCCCCGCCGCGUGCGCCAGGAGUGGAGCCGGGGGUGCGUCCCACCCCCGUCUUACCUGGGACAGCUGGCCCCACGGGGCCCAGGAGGGCUGCACGGAAGGAGGGUUCGGCAUCGGUGCGCUGUGUCCCCUCACGUGUUCCUGGCGUGUGCAGGUUCAGGGCCCUGGGCUUCACCCCUGCGCAGGCCCAGUGUCACCACCUCAGUCAGCCCCAUGGGGACCCCCUCUUGCACGACGCCCACCUCCCUGCCACCAUCCCUGCUGCCCGGCAGCGCUCAUCUGUUCCCCAUCUCCGUAAUUUUCCAUUUCAAGAAUGUUCUGUGAAUGGACUCACGCGAUGUAUAGCCUUUGGGGGCUGGCCCUUCCUUCACUGCGCUUAAUUCUCUGGAGAUGCAUCGGAGUCGCUGUGCCACACUUUGUGCUGUUUUUUAUUGCUAAAUUCUGUGAUGAGAUUUGAAAGGAGUGUUAAAGACUAUUGACCGCCUCUCAGAGCUAGGCUAUUUGCCCAGCUGAAGUCUGCUACUGCUACUGCUGCUAAGUCGCGUCAGUCGUGCCCGACUCUGUGCGACCCCAUGGACGGCAGCCCACCAG